CAACGACGUUGAUGCUGGAUUUUAUAAAUUUCACUUCCAAUUUUCGAGAGACAAACAGAAAAUCACGACCAUGGAGAUGCUUCGAUACUCACCAUCUUUUUUCUGGGCAGUCAUCUACAUCUUUGUCCUUCGCUUAUAAUGUGCAUGCUUAUGACGACCGUACAGGGUGUCUAGUGUUUUCUUCAGAAGCUUCCAUUAGCAAGUAAUGCAAUAUUGAAACCAGUGAGUUCAUUUUUUUCUUUUUUCAGAAUCCGUAGUUAUUCGGUCCUUCCAUAUUAGCAAAUCAUAUCCUGUAGAGAUUUUCUUUCCUUUUAUUUGAAAAUGAUAACCUUCAUUUUUUCUACAAAUGCACCUGCCUAAAUCCCUCAAUGUCCCAAUCCUAAUUGACAUUUGUCUUUUCAAUUCUCUCUUGCAAUUUGUCUUCUCCGGUGGGUCUUCUCAAACUCCCUUACAUGGCUACCUUCUAUUCGUUUUAAAUCUUUUUUGUGA
rnacentral:misc_RNA from 1 species